GGAGGUGGUGUGCAGCCGAUGGACUCUGGACAGGACGGACCUUGUCAGGUUGUGAUGAGGCCCUAUAUGACGUUCCCUUGGCCUUUAGGCCCCCUAUCUUUUUACACAAUGAUUUGUGCUGUCCUGAUAUAUGCCGCUAUCUCCAUACAUGUGAUGUUGCGUAGUGUGCUUCAGUGUCGUAAUUAUUGUUGCUGUCUCUUCCUGAUGGGGGAUGUCUCCCCUCUUUUGUGAGGGAUGCAUCGCUUUCCCUCGCUCCGAUGUUGGAUGCCUGCCUGUUUUGUAGAUACUUUAUAUUUUGUGUUUUUAUGAUAUGCAUUCCCUAAUAUGUUGUAGGCUCUGCAUUUGCAUAAUAACUUUAGUGUUUUUGUUUUUUGUUUGGUUUAUUUUCGGUAUUAUUACAAGAUGUU
rnacentral:lncRNA from 1 species